GCUCUCAUGCUUCGAGCUUGGUGUCUUGUGGACUGGGCGAGACCCCAGGGUCCCUCGCCCAGGAGACUCAACCUUAGGCGUGGGACGCA
rnacentral:pre_miRNA from 1 species